rnacentral:rRNA from 1 species
CCAGACUCCUACGGGAGGCAGCAGUGGGGAAUAUUGCGCAAUGGGCGAAACCCUGAUGCAGCAACGCCGCGUGAGUGAGGAAGUAUUUCGGUAUGUAAAGCUCUAUCAGCAGGGAAUAGAAAAGAAGGUACCUGAAAAAGAAGCCCCGGCUAACUACGUGCCAGCAGCCGCGGUAAUACGUAGGGGGCAAGCGUUAUCCGGAUUUACUGGGUGUAAAGGGAGCGCAGGCGGCACGGCAAGCCUGAUGUGAAAGCCCGCGGCCCAACCGCGGGACUGCAUUGGGAACUACCGGGCUGGAGUGCCGGAGAGGUAGGCGGAAUUCCUAGUGUAGCGGUGAAAUGCGUAGAUAUUAGGAGGAACACCAGUGGCGAAGGCGGCCUACUGGACGGUGACUGACGCUGAGGCUCGAGAGCGUGGGGAGCAAACAGGAUUAGAUACCCCAGUAG